CUUAGCUUGCUAAGGCUGAUGGCGACCGGCGCACGGGUGAGUAACACGUAUCCAACCUGCCGUCUACUCUUGGCCAGCCUUCUGAAAGGAAGAUUAAUCCAGGAUGGCAUCAUGAGUUCACAUGUCCGCAUGAUUAAAGGUAUUUUCCGGUAGACGAUGGGGAUGCGUUCCAUUAGAUAGUAGGCGGGGUAACGGCCCACCUAGUCAACGAUGGAUAGGGGUUCUGAGAGGAAGGUCCCCCACAUUGGAACUGAGACACGGUCCAAACUCCUACGGGAGGCAGCAGUGAGGAAUAUUGGUCAAUGGGCGAUGGCCUGAACCAGCCAAGUAGCGUGAAGGAUGACUGCCCUAUGGGUUGUAAACUUCUUUUAUAAAGGAAUAAAGUCGGGUAUGCAUACCCGUUUGCAUGUACUUUAUGAAUAAGGAUCGGCUAACUCCGUGCCAGCAGCCGCGGUAAUACGGAGGAUCCGAGCGUUAUCCGGAUUUAUUGGGUUUAAAGGGAGCGUAGAUGGAUGUUUAAGUCAGUUGUGAAAGUUUGCGGCUCAACCGUAAAAUUGCAGUUGAUACUGGAUGUCUUGAGUGCAGUUGAGGCAGGCGGAAUUCGUGGUGUAGCGGUGAAAUGCUUAGAUAUCACGAAGAACUCCGAUUGCGAAGGCAGCCUGCUAAGCUGCAACUGACAUUGAGG
rnacentral:rRNA from 1 species